rnacentral:rRNA from 1 species
CAUGUCUUUUAGAAAAUAAUUUAAAGUCUAACCUGCCCACUAAGGGCCGCAGUAUUUUGACUGUGCAAAGGUAGCAUAAUCAUUAGUCUUUUAAUUGAAGGCUUGUAUGAAUGGUUGGAUGAAAUAUUAACUGUCUCAAAUUAAUAAUAGAAUUUAAUUUUUAAGUUAAAAAGCUUAAAUAGAAUUAGAGGACGAGAAGACCCUAUAGAUCUUUAUAUUUUUAUUUUUAAUUUUUAUUUAGGAAAAAAAUAUUUUUAAAUAUUUUAUUGGGGUGAUAAUUAAAUUUAGUUAACUUUAUUUAAUAAAAACAUUAAUUUAUGAAUAAUUGAUCCAUUAUUAGUGAUUAGAAGAUUAAGUUACCUUAGGGAUAACAGCGUAAUUUUUUUAGAGAGUUCUUAUCGAUAAAAAAGUUUGCGACCUCGAUGUUGAAUUUUUAGGUGCAGUAGUUUAAAUGUUUGGUCUGUUCGACCAUUAAAUCUUUACAUGAU